UGGUGGAACCGCCAUCUUUCACCCUCCAACUCCCGAAGCCUCUUCCUCAGGACCUGGGCAUCCUUGAUCGCCUGCUGCUCGUGGGCCAGCUGAAUCUUCAGCCAUUGCAGUUCGGCCUUCUCCUGCCCAAGGGCCACAGACAGUUCUUCCAUGGUCCCCCUCAAGGAGCGGAGCUCGUUGGAGCCUUGUGCAGUGGUGGGCUGGACUCUCUCAGACAACUACCUCUGAAGGCAUGCAACUUCAUCGGUCACCAUCUUGAGCUUCCUUCGG
rnacentral:lncRNA from 1 species